rnacentral:rRNA from 1 species
CCUACACAUGCAAGUCGAGGGGUAACGUGAGUGCUUGCACUUGACGACGACCGGCGCACGGGUGCGGAACGCGUAUGGAACCUACCUUUAUCAGGGAGAUAGCCCAUGGAAACGUGGAUUAAUAUCCCAUAGUAUUAUUUUAUCGCCUGAUAGAAUAAUUAAAGAAUUUCGGAUAGAGAUGGCCAUGCGUAUCAUUAGCUAGUAGGCGAGGUAACGGCUCACCUAGGCGACGAUGAUUAGGGGUCCUGAGAGGGAGAUCCCCCACACUGGUACUGAGACACGGACCAGACUCCUACGGGAGGCAGCAGUGAGGAAUAUUGGGCAAUGGAGGCAACUCUGACCCAGCCAUGCCGCGUGCAGGAAGACGGCCCUACGGGUUGUAAACUGCCUUUAUACAGGAAGAACACCACCCACGUGUGGGUGACUGACGGUACUGUAAGAAUAAGGACCGGCUAACUCCGUGCCAGCAGCCGCGGUAAUACGGAGGGUCCGAGCGUUAUCCGGAAUCAUUGGGUUUAAAGGGUCCGUAGGCGGGCUAAUAAGUCAGAGGUGAAAGUUUGCAGCUCAACUGUAAAAUUGCCUUUGAUACUGUUAGUCUUGAGUUAUAGUGAAGUGGUUAGAAUAAGUGGUGUAGCGGUGAAAUGCAUAGAUAUCACUUAGAAUACCGAUUGCGAAGGCAGAUCACUAACUGUAUACUGACGCUGAGGGACGAAAGCAUGGGUAGCGAACGGGAUUAGAUACCCCGGUAGUCCAUGCUGUAAACGAUGUCAACUAGGUGUGUGAAGAUAUAUUCUUUGCGUAUCGAAGCUAACGCGAUAAGUUGACCGCCUGGGGAGUACGGCCGCAAGGCUAAAACUCAAAUGAAUUGACGGGGGC